ACAGGAGUUCACAGCUGUGGAGGGAGACAGAACCAUCGUGUUCAACAAUGUGAGCGACCAGGUGAAGGAGUGUUGUCACAGUCAUGUUCUGUAUCGUCACAGGACUCGUGUGGUGUCAGCUGAUCUCACACUGAGUCUCAGGUUGUAUCUUAUGUAUAUUAAUAACUGGGAGCAUAAAGUCAAGUACAAGUACUUUGGUUUAUUCUAGUUUGGUGCAGCACUUGAGUAAAUGUACUUAGUGAUUUAAACGUGAGGCUCACAGACUAACGUGUGACGCCGAGUGAGGCCGGCUGUUCGAGCCCAGUGUGUGUUCAGGUGUGUCUCACCGCUCAGUCACUGUGGUGCAGUUGAUGGUCCCGUCAGCAGGUUCAGGGAACUGCUCUUCACAGCUGGGGGGCAAAGAGCAGAGGGUCAGGACUGUUCUCUGGGCCUGACUCCUUCACAUCAACACACAGGUCUGACAUUCAGGACGAGGUCUCACCUGCUGGAGCUGAACUCAGGAAGCACUUCAUCAGAAGAUCCGCCGGAGGAAUAACAUAAACCUGGGAUGGUGUCAUUAGAUGAGCCUGGACAGUUUGAGGAGAGAAGGAGUCAGAAGAAGAAAAGUCAGACUGGAUGAACAUUUAUCUGUCAACCAGCGAUUCAACCAGCCGCUGUACGACCACACCUGAAGAUGUAGACAGACCGUCAGAACACUGCGGGUCAAAGGUCAAAGUCGAAAUCCUUCAGAAUAAAAACGAUUUCAUCAGACGUCAGUGAGACGUCAAAGAGCUGCAGACGCCUCAGGGUCAGAGGAGAUCCUCCAUGACAGUCUCCAUGUCCGAUCAGUCUAAGCAUCUUCACCAGUGAGGAACUGAAUACUGAUGAUGGUCUGAUUUCUGUUCACUGGCCCAUAAAGUCAAAUCAGUUCACAUGUGAAUCAACCCGUCCCAACAAACAGCUCAGUGGCGACUCAGGUGUAUGACAGGUGCUCAGCGUCACAUGGGCCCGGCUGGUGUCGUGGAGGAAAAGCUUCUCUGGACUUUGUCUCUACCUGUCUUGUGGAUCUGUGCGGUGGAGCCAUCGAAGAAGACAGAGGUGGUGUAGUUGGAGAGGAGGAACGUGGCGGUGACUCCGGUCUGGUUCUUGGAGACGUCCACACCGUGAAGAGACAGAGGCAAGCUGCCGAGGCUCAGCGGCGCGUCGUCCACCUGCGUCACAGCGGAGGACAACGCUGGUUCAACCACGUUGUUCAACACUUCAGUCCACUGGACACUCAAGACUCACUGAUCCGUCCACCAGCACCAGCUGUCGACCAAACAGCCAACUACUGAGUGAAGUUCAGCCGGUAACUGGAUCAUGGACAUGAGUCUUGAUUUAGCUCGGCUGCAGAAGGUAACAGGGUUCUAUUAGUUUCUUGUUCUGAGCGUUUGAUGAGUGUAAUUCUAACGCUUUAGAAUAACCCACUACAUGUUAGCAGUCAGGCAGACAAACGCAUUAACAUUUGCAACAGUUAACAUCUGUGUAUAUGAAGUAAUAAACCAGAGGAACCAAAUUUGGGCUUUUAUGAAAAAGUUGAAAUGAAGUUUAUCUACAUUUCACCAACACCACCAUCUUUCCUGGACCUGAAGGUCGUCACAGGCCGAAGGAGACGGUCACAGCGAGAGGACAGAGAGCGAGUGAACACACAAGGACAGAUGUUUUCUUCCUCCUACAGAGGAGACCACGACAGUCCAGAUGUUUUGUACGAAGCAGUCGACUGCGUUCGGAGCAGACAGGACGUCAGAGGAGAGGAGGGCGGUGGACCGUGCACUGCCGCCCUCUACAGGCCAGAAAGAGGAGUGCACUCCUUUGCUUUAAUUAAAGGGGCAGUCCACCCAAAACCAAACACAUAACCACCACAUGAUGUUUGUUGUAGACACGUUGAUGAAAACAGAAAGACAAAAGAGGGAUGGUUAAUGCACAGUGAUCCACUGAUGAUCUCCACCAACCAGGAGGACGUCAGCUCCACUCUCUCUGUGGCUGAGGGUGGUUUACCUGAAGCCUCAGGCCUGGUCCCAGGGUGAUGUUGACACCCGGCCCGUCCAAACGCAGGAUCACUUUGUCCAACAGACUGAAGUCUUUACGGCGUCGGUCCCGGAAGACGGCCAGCAGCUCGACGCCCGACUCUGACAACAGAGUGUAAGCACAGCGAUCCGGGACAGAGACGACAUAGUUCAAGAAGUUGACGACAGUGGAGCCGAUCACGGUGCACGUGGGACACCUAACACACAGGGGAGGUGGAGAUGUUUUAUCACCAGCAGCUGAUGACAAAAGUAUUUACCUGGAAAUAUAACUGAGAUAUAUUUACGGGCACAGAACUCCACAAGGAGAGAAAGUGAGGUUUCCUUCUGCACUACAGCUCACACUGGAACCAUCUGGAUUACAGACCAACUCAUUCACUCCAUAGUAAACACCUGUAAAACAGAGAGGAUUCAGUUGUGAUAUUGAAUCGUAAGAGAAUAAGAUAACAGCAACAUUGGAACAUGAUCAUACUGUGAGGGCCCCUGUGAAGGCUCAGUUCACUCACACCACACAGCAACAUAUGUCCUCAUGUUUGCUCCACCUCACACACUGCAGGUGGGUGGAGUCACUUUGUGGCUUGUCGUUUCACUGGAACUACUUCCUGGAGGAGCGUUUCUGUGGAAACCGUCUCCACUAACAUGAACAUCUGUAACAUCAUCUCACAGAAACUAACUUCACCUCCAGUGUGGUGCGGUGGAGUCGGAGAGCUCAGCGAGACGAAGCUCUGUCCCAGGACGGAUCAAAUUAUCAAACUAUCUGACGGGACACAGAGGAACUAUGUUUGUUUGUGAUUUGGGUGAACUGACCCUUUAAUAAUCACCAGCUCUGCUCACCUGACUUUAUGCAGGCAAUAGAGAAUUUAAAGAUAUUUGAACUGACACCGUACGUGUCCACUGAAACACCACCGACCAUCACGUCGACACUCUGCAGAGGAACGACACAGUUACUGUCUCACACUGACACACAGGAAGACAUCACACUGUCUCCAUGGCAACACAACUGUGAAGAGGCGGAACUUUCUCUUCACUGAUCAUCAACUUCUCUCCAGCUGCUGUUUGUCAUACGUGUACUUACCAAAUCUCCUGUGGUGUAUACACCAAUAUAAAGAGCUGAUUGUGUCCCAAACUGGCGAAACUGAAUUGCAAACUGUGAACAUGAAACACAUGUGAUUCAGAGACUGUUGGAAAACAAAAGCUUCCAGAAAAACUUUUGACCUUUUUGAUCAGCGGUAUAUUCAGAAGUUCACAUUGACUGAAAGAGAUCAAUACUCACCUCAUAUAAAUUUUGACCGUUAAAAAAUGCCAUGUUUGCAUAGCAUGUUGAGGAACCAGUGAGACCUUGUAGAGAAUUGUGCCAACUUGAUCCAGUAUCAGAAACACUUUGACCAAUGAUAUUUGAACCUCUAACUACAGUCUUGCCUGUCAUCAACACACAGUCGUUGUCUGCAGUAGCAGGGUAGGGGCCUUUGAAACAAACUGCGGCAGUGGUUGAUAUGAUGUUCACCUGUUGACAUGAGGGAGAAACAACACAUGAAACUAGGGCGGGGUUAUUGUCAAGAACCUCACACUUCAAUUCAAUUUCCAUUCUUCAGGUCACGAUUGGAUUGGAUUCGAUAUUGAAGCAACAUGCUUCAUAAUUCAGUAAUAGGUGGAGAUGACAAAAAGACCCAACUUAUUCAUUAGGAUACAUUUUCAUAUUUGUCAAAUAACAAUGUUUUUAUUGGUUGAGAACAGAAUGAUUGAUGAACGUAGAGGAAACCCUGACUACCACCCCGUUUCUGUCUUGGAGGGCCUCUGUACGACACAAUCAGCGGCACCCACAAGGCCCGACAGGUGUGGGGUUUCCUCACAACGCGAUUGAUCAUUUUACGUAUUUUCUUAAUCGAUAUUGAAUCGGCAAAAAAUAUAUUGCAAUGCAUUGGUGAAUCGAUUUUUUUUACCCAGCCCUACACGAAACCAUAAAAAGUCCUGAAGCAGAAACUGUGCACAAUGAAACCAAGAACAAAAAGUCACAGUGUCGUACAUGCAGGUUAUUGUUACAAACGUUUAACUGAUCAAGAGAGAAGCUGGACUCUUCAGAUCCCAGGGACAUUCAGAUGGGAUCUUUAAGGCUGCAGCUCCAGUCGUCGUUCAAACGUUUCUCUACAUGGUCUCGAUACGUUUCCCUUCCAUCACCACACUGUCACCGUCUGCUGUACGUUCAUGGACGUGGAGCUGCUGCUCAGAUGACUUCGCCCUCCACCAACGACGGACACCAAACAUCAGCCAGGACAAAGACAUGAAGCUGUUCUCCACCGUCCAGCUUCGUCUUACUCACGUAAACUGUGGUGUAAACUUGUCCAUAGUGAGCGACGGGACAAUCGCUGAAGUCUAGUUCAGCAGUUGUUCCAAAAUUCACUGAGGCAGACAUGGAGACAUGAGAGAGACAGUUAGUGAAGUCAAUCAGCAGGUUGGACCACAGGAAAGGCUGCAAAUACAACUGUUAGAAAACUAAGAGCUGUCAGGAGCAAGCGCAGGACGACUAACAGAACACAGAUUAAUAACUAGUCAGCUGGAAGAUGAUCUGCCUGCUUCACUUCAUCUAGUUUCUCAGUCUGUUAUAUCGUCUGUCGGCUCAGCUGACGUCCCUGAACCCAUCGGCUGGAGUCACAUCGUCCUUCCUGUCGUCUUCUCCUCUCUACUGUUCCUUGACCUCAGUGGCAAAGGUCACGAGGUGAAGGAAAGGAGUCGAGGAGGAUUCACAGGACUCAGGAGAA